GGGCGUAUAGCUCAGCGGUAGAACACCUGCUUAGCAUGCACGAGGUCCUGGGUUCAAUCCCCAGUACUUCUG
rnacentral:tRNA from 1 species